UCUGUCAUUAAUGGCUUCAAGUACGUGUCUGGGGGUUGACUAACUACCCAGUGUGCAUAGCGGCUAAGAGUCCAGCAUGUAAUGGAGCGCACAAGAGCCUUUUUAUCAGAGAGGCACUGAAUAAGGUCUCAAAAGUAAUCUCAUUCUCACAUCAGUCCAAUGUAACUUCUAUAACAAAGGAAGUUUUAGGAUACAUUCCAGAAGGAAAGAAACAGAAGCCAUACCACUUCAGUCAGGCAAAAGACCUUCCCAAGAAAGAACAAGGUUGAGAGAGGAGCACUCAUAGCUAAAGAAAAACUCCUUCAGCUGUAGAGUGCAAACGAUGUCAUGCAGAGGAAACCUGGCCAUAGAACCUACUACAGUCAAGACUGUCAGCAUUAGAAGAUAAGCCUGAACAGCUGAAAACUGGAUUUCACAACAGUUCGUGACUAUUUCAUAGAUGAAGUCACCCACUUUAAAGCUUCUUAGGGCAUGGAGAUGCCUAAAAAGGAUGUCUC